rnacentral:rRNA from 1 species
CCUACGGGCGUCAGCAGUGAGGAAUAUUGGUCAAUGGACGAGAGUCUGAACCAGCCAAGUAGCGUGAAGGAUGACUGCCCUAUGGGUUGUAAACUUCUUUUAUAUGGGAAUAAAAUGUUCCACGUGUGGGCUUUUGUAUGUACCAUAUGAAUAAGGAUCGGCUAACUCCGUGCCAGCAGCCGCGGUAAUACGGAGGAUCCGAGCGUUAUCCGGAUUUAUUGGGUUUAAAGGGAGCGUAGGUGGAUUGUUAAGUCAGUUGUGAAAGUUUGCGGCUCAACCGUAAAAUUGCAGUUGAAACUGGCAGUCUUGAGGACAGUAGAGGUGGGCGGAAUUCGUGGUGUAGCGGUGAAAUGCUUAGAUAUCACGAAGAACUCCGAUUGCGAAGGCAGCUCACUGGACUGCAACUGACACUGAGGCUCGAAAGUGUGGGUAUCAAACAGGAUUAGAUACCCUAGUC